rnacentral:rRNA from 1 species
UUAGCCUACGGGAGGCAGCAGUGGGGGAUAUUGCACAAUGGGGGAAACCCUGAUGCAGCGACGCCGCGUGUGGGAAGACGGUCCUCUGGAUUGUAAACCACUGUCCCCAGGGACGAAGAUGACGGUACCUGGGGAGGAAGCUCCGGCUAACUACGUGCCAGCAGCCGCGGUAAUACGUAGGGAGCGAGCGUUGUCCGGAAUUACUGGGUGUAAAGGGAGCGUAGACGGCCAGACAAGUCUGAAGUGAAAAUCCAGCGCUUAACGUUGGAAGUGCUUUGGAAACUGCCGGGCUGGAGUGCAGGAGG